GAUCCUGGCUCAGGAUGAACGCUGGCGGCGUGCUUAACACAUGCAAGUCGAACGAAGCACUCUAUUUGAUUUUCUUCGGAGAUGAAGAUUUUGUGACUGAGUGGCGGACGGGUGAGUAACGCGUGGGUAACCUGCCUCAUACAGGGGGAUAACAGUUGGAAACGACUGCUAAUACCGCAUAAGCGCACAGGACCGCAUGAUCCGGUGUGAAAAACUCCGGUGGUAUGAGAUGGACCCGCG
rnacentral:rRNA from 1 species